rnacentral:rRNA from 1 species
GACGAACGCUGGCGGCGUGCUUAACACAUGCAAGUCGAACGGAAAGGCCCUGCUUUUGUGGGGUGCUCGAGUGGCGAACGGGGGAGUAACACGUGAGUAACCUGCCCUUGACUUUGGGAUAACUUCAGGAAACUGGGGCUAAUACCGGAUAGGAGCUCCUGCUGCAUGGUGGGGGUUGGAAAGUUUCGGCGUUUGGGGAUGUACUCGCUGCUUAUCAGCUUGUUGGUGGGGUAGUGGCGUACCAAGGCUUUGACGGGUAGCCGGCCUGAGAGGGUGACCGGCCACAUUGGGACUGCGAUACGGCCCAGACUCCUACGGGAGGCAGCAGUGGGGAAUAUUGCACAAUGGGCGGAAGCCUGAUGCAGCAACGCCGCGUGCGGGAUGACGGCCUUCGGGUUGUAAACCGCUUUCGCCUGUGACGAAGCGUGAGUGACGGUAAUGGGUAAAGAAGCACCGGCUAACUACGUG